rnacentral:rRNA from 1 species
CCUACGGGUGGCAGCAGUGAGGAAUAUUGGUCAAUGGACGAGAGUCUGAACCAGCCAAGUAGCGUGAAGGAUGACUGCCCUAUGGGUUGUAAACUUCUUUUAUAUGGGAAUAAAAUGUUCCACGUGUGGGAUUUUGUAUGUACCAUAUGACUAAGGAUCGGCUAACUCCGUGCCAGCAGCCGCGGUAAUACGGAGGAUCCGAGCGUUAUCCGGAUUUAUUGGGUUUAAAGGGAGCGUAGGUGGAUUGUUAAGUCAGUUGUGAAAGUUUGCGGCUCAACCGUAAAAUUGCAGUUGAAACUGGCAGUCGUGAGUACAGUAGAGGUGGGCGGAAUUCGUGGUGUAGCGGUGAAAUGCUUAGAUAUCACGAAGAACUCCGAUUGCGAAGGCAGCUCACUGGACCGCAACGGACACUGAGGCUCGAAAGUGUGGGUAUCAAACAGGAGUAGAUACCCUAGUAGUC